GAGUUUGAUCAUGGCUCAGAUUGAACGCUGGCGGCAUGCCUUACACAUGCAAGUCGAACGGUAACAGGUCUUCGGAUGCUGACGAGUGGCGAACGGGUGAGUAAUACAUCGGAACGUGCCCAGACGUGGGGGGAUAACGAGGCGAAAGCUUUGCUAAUACCGCACACGAUCUAAGGAUGAAAGCAGGGGACCGCAAGGCCUUGCGCGUUUGGAGCGGCCGAUGGCAGAUUAGGUAGUUGGUGGGAUAAAAGCUUACCAAGCCGACGAUCUGUAGCUGGUCUGAGAGGACGACCAGCCACACUGGGACUGAGACACGGCCCAGACUCCUACGGGAGGCAGCAGUGGGAAUUUUGGACAAUGGGCGAAAGCCUGAUCCAGCAAUGCCGCGUGCAGGAUGAAGGCCUCGGUUGUAAC
rnacentral:rRNA from 1 species